rnacentral:rRNA from 1 species
CGAACGGGAUGCUUAGGCAUCUAGUGGCGGACGGGUGAGUAACGCGUGAGAAUCUGGCUCCAGGUCGGGGAUAACAGUUGGAAACGACUGCUAAUACCGGAUGUGCCGAGAGGUGAAAGAUUUAUUGCCUGGAGAUGAGCUCGCGUCUGAUUAGCUAGUUGGUGGUGUAAGGGACCACCAAGGCGUCGAUCAGUAGCUGGUCUGAGAGGAUGAUCAGCCACACUGGGACUGAGACACGGCCCAGACUCCUACGGGAGGCAGCAGUGGGGAAUUUUCCGCAAUGGGCGAAAGCCUGACGGAGCAAUACCGCGUGAGGGAGGAAGGCUCUUGGGUCGUAAACCUCUUUUCUCAAGGAAGAAGAAAGUGACGGUACUUGAGGAAUAAGCAUCGGCUAACUCCGUGCCAGCAGCCGCGGUAAUACGGAGGAUGCAAGCGUUAUCCGGAAUGAUUGGGCGUAAAGGGUCUGCAGGUGGAACUGAAAGUCUGCUGUUAAAGAGUUUGGCUUAACCAAAUAAAAGCGGUGGAAACUACAGAACUAGAGUGUGGUAGGGGCAAAAGGAAUUCCUGGUGUAGCGGUGAAAUGCGUAGAUAUCAGGAAGAACACCGGUGGCGAAAGCGUUUUGCUAGACCAUAACUGACACUGAGGGACGAAAGCUAGGGGAGCGAAUGGGAUUAGAUACCCCAGUAGUCCUAGCCGUAAACGAUGGAUACUAGGCGUGGCUUGUAUCGACCCGAGCCGUGCCGGAGCUAACGCGUUAAGUAUCCCGCCUGGGGAGUACGCACGCAAGUGUGAAACUCAAAGGAAUUGACGGGGGCCCGCACAAGCGGUGGAGUAUGUGGUUUAAUUCGAUGCAACGCGAAGAACCUUACCAAGACUUGACAUCCUGCGAAUCCUGGUGAAAGCUGGGAGUGCCUUCGGGAGCGCAGAGACAGGUGGUGCAUGGCUGUCGUCAGCUCGUGUCGUGAGAUGUUGGGUUAAGUCCCGCAACGAGCGCAACCCUCGUUUUUAGUUGCCAGCAUUAAGUUGGGCACUCUAGAGAGACUGCCGGUGACAAACCGGAGGAAGGUGAGGAUGACGUCAAGUCAGCAUGCCCCUUACGUCUUGGGCUACACACGUACUACAAUGCUACGGACAGAGGGCAGCAAGCCAGGGAUGGCAAGCGAAUCCAGAAACCGUAGCUCAGUUCAGAUCGAAGGCUGCAACUCGCCUUCGUGAAGGAGGAAUCGCUAGUAAUUGCAGGUCAGCAUACUGCAGUGAAUUCGUUCCCGGGCCUUGUACACACCGCCCGUCACACCAUGGAAGUUGGUCACGCCCGAAGUCAUUACCCCAACCGAAAGGAGGGGGAUGCCUAAGGUAGGACUGGUGACUGGGGUGAAGUCGUAACAAGGUAGCCGUACCGGAAGGUGUGGCUGGAUCACCUCCUUU